UUUUUGCUGUCAAAGACCCUCGUGAAGACUGGAAAAUCAGGUGCUAGCAGCUUUCCCAUCUUAGCAUAAUUGAUCAAUUGCAAAUUGCUUCUUUUUCUCUUUGGGGGCUGCCUUGCUGUCGAAGACCAAGACCAAGUUUAAAGACUAGUUCAAUUAGAACUUGCUACCUCAUCAAUUUGCUGCUUUGCUGCCUUGUUGACGUGCUUCCCCAUCCCAUCUCAUCUUCCUGUCUUGUCUAAGAUCAAGCUUCAAACUUGAAGUUCAAAAGAAGACCCCUCUUCCCAUGGCUCAAGUAAGCUCAUGCAUGUCAUCUCUUUCUUAAAGCCAAUGGUUUUUCAUGGGUUCCCUUCCUAUGUCAGUUUUGAUUAUGGAGGAGCAUGGGUUUACACGGGCAAUCUGA
rnacentral:lncRNA from 1 species